AUGGAGGUUGCCAUGUCUGCAGUUGUAGGUGAACUCGUGAGCCAAUUCAUCUCCUUCCUGAUGAACAAGUGCAACUCCUUGAGGCAUGCCCAAUCAGAGAAGGAGAAGGUGCUGGAGAGGUUACAACACCUGCUGAUGAGAGCUGGCACCAUCGUUGAGGAGGCAGACACACGAUACAUAACCAACUCUGGGAUGAUGAUGCAGCUCAAGACGCUCUCAGAGGUCAUGUACCGAGGAUAUGGUGCGCUGGACAACUCGAGGUACCAUGACCUCCAAGAAAGUGCAGCCUUCGACGAGGUUAGCAUUAAUGACUCAUCUGGAAGUGGAUUAUAUUUAGCCAAGCGCUCUCGAACAACAAAUGAUAAGGCCACACGCCUCGAGUCACAUGACGCCUUGCAAAGUUUAGAAAUUGCUAUUGCUAACAUGGCAGAAUUUAUUGUUCUUCUCGGUGGAUGCGAGCGCAUGUCUCGUAGGCCAUAUGAUGUUUAUCUUUACACCGACAACUUCAUGUUCGGCCGACACACUGAGAAGCAAAAGCUCUUGAGCUUCUUGUUGCAGCACAACGACCCUCUAGGUAAUCAUGCACUGGCAGUUCUUCCGAUCAUAGGUGGUGUUGGAGUUGGAAAGAAAACAUUGGUUGCUCAUGUGUGUGGCGACGAAAGGGUUCGCUCACGCUUCUCCUCUAUUUUGCAAUUGAAUGGAGAUAGCCUCUUGACGAUACUUGACCAUGGAAGGACUAUGGAAGGUAUGAUGUUGGUAGUUAUUGAGUUUGCUUCUGAUGUAGAUGACGAUGAGUGGAAAAGAUUUCACUCGUUUUUCAUAAGAAAGGGCAAAGGAAGCAAGAUCAUCAUCAUAAGUAAACUUAAGAGAUUAGCCCGGUUUGGGUCGGUGAACCCCAUUUUCCUUACUGCUAUGUCUUAUGAUGAGUUGAGGUACCUUUUCAAGACACUGGCAUUCGGAAGUGUGGACCGUGCAGAACAUCCACGGCUGGUACAAAUAGCAGAUGAAUUUGCCAUGUUAGUGCACGGUGCGCAAUGUUCACUUACCUCAACAAAUGUGUUCGCGGAUAUGUUGAGAAAGAAUCUCGAUGUUCAGUUUUGGCGUAGAAUAUUGGACAAGGGGACAAGGUAUGUUAAAAGAAACCUCUCCAGAUAUAGUAGUGUCGACCAAGCCAUACUUAUACAACAAGGCCAUCCAGUGGUUGUAACGGACCUUGCUUUGGAUCCGCUUAGUGUGAGACCUUAUACAAAUCAUGUUUCAAGCAAGAAACUGCCAAGUGUGACAUUUGGGGAACUUCUAACAGACCCUACUGUUAGACCAAAAGGAGACUUUAUUAUAGUUUCAUGGGAAUCAAGGAUACCACCUCAUAAUUCAUUUGCUUGUUUUGCUACAAGUCAUGCUCAGGAUACACAUGAAGGUAGUACCUUGCCAGGGAGGAAGCGACGCGGAGAGCCAAUUUAA
rnacentral:rRNA from 1 species